rnacentral:rRNA from 1 species
AUUGAACGCUGGCGGCAGGCCUAACACAUGCAAGUCGAGCGAGUGGCGGACGGGUGAGUAAUGUCUGGGGAACUGCCCGAUGGAGGGGGAUAACUACUGGAAACGGUAGCUAAUACCGCAUACCAUCGGAUGAGCCCAUAUGGGAUUAGCUAGUAGGUGGGGUAACGGCUCACCUAGUCGACGAUCUCUAGCUGGUCUGAGAGGAUGACCAGCCACACUGGAACUGAGACACGGUCCAGACUCCUACGGGAGGCAGCAGUAGGGAAUCUUCCGCAAUGGGCGAAAGCCUGAUGGAGCCACGCCGCGUGUGUGAUGAAGGUCUUCGGAUCGUAAAACUCUGUUAUCAGGGAAGCGUUACCCAAUCAGAAAGCCCCGGCUAACUCCGUGCCAGCAGCCGCGGUAAUUC